rnacentral:rRNA from 1 species
GGCGAACGGGUGAGUAACACGUGAGUAACCUGCCCCAGACUCUGGGAUAAGCCUUGGAAACGAGGUCUAAUACCGGAUGCGAGACGAGACCGCAUGGUCAUCGUCUGGAAAGAAUUUCGGUCUGGGAUGGACUCGCGGCCUAUCAGCUUGUUGGUGAGGUAACGGCUCACCAAGGCGACGACGGGUAGCCGGCCUGAGAGGGCGACCGGCCACACUGGAACUGAGACACGGUCCAGACUCCUACGGGAGGCAGCAGUGGGGAAUAUUGCACAAUGGGCGCAAGCCUGAUGCAGCGACGCCGCGUGGGGGAUGAAGGCCUUCGGGUUGUAAACCCCUUUCAGCAGGGAAGAAGCGAAAGUGACGGUACCUGCAGAAGAAGCGCCGGCUAACUACGUGCCAGCAGCCGCGGUAAUACGUAGGGCGCAAGCGUUGUCCGGAAUUAUUGGGCGUAAAGAGCUCGUAGGCGGUCUGUCGCGUCUGCUGUGAAAACCCGAGGCUCAACCUCGGGCCUGCAGUGGGUACGGGCAGACUAGAGUGUGGUAGGGGAGACUGGAAUUCCUGGUGUAGCGGUGGAAUGCGCAGAUAUCAGGAGGAACACCAAUGGCGAAGGCAGGUCUCUGGGCCACAACUGACGCUGAGGAGCGAAAGCAUGGGGAGCGAACAGGAUUAGAUACCCUGGUAGUCCAUGCCGUAAACGGUG